GUUAUUUUGGCAGAAUAGUGCAUUAAAUUUAGAAUUUAAGAAUAUAAUUUAUUUAUAAAUAAUA
rnacentral:tRNA from 1 species